rnacentral:rRNA from 1 species
GAAAUGCGAUAAGUAAUGUGAAUUGCAGAAUUCAGUGAAUCAUCGAAUCUUUGAACGCACCUUGCGCUCCUUGGUAUUCCGAGGAGCAUGCCUGUUUGAGUGUCAUGAAUUUCUCAAAUCUUACUAGUGUUAUUCUAGUUAGAUUUGGAUUAAUGGAAGUUGUGCUGGAUUGGCUAUAUAUAAAUAAUCAGUCAGCUCUUCUUAAAUGCAUUAGCAAUAAACAUUGCUAGUCAUUAUUAGUAUGAUAAAUUAUAUUUAUACUAUUAGUGUCUGUAAUAAUUGCUUCUAAUCGUCAUUAUUGACAAUAUUUGACAAUUUUGACCUCAAAUCAGGUAGGAUUACCCGCUGAACUUAA